rnacentral:lncRNA from 1 species
GGCUAAAAAUCUCGCCAUUGUUGCUUCACGAUCCUCCUCCACGUCGGCUCUUAUCAUAGCAAUUUCCAUGUCUUUAUAGUAGUCCUCGACAGUUCGGUUGCCUUGUGUGAGAUUUUGCAAUCGUUGGUACAACUCCCGAUGGUAAUAGGAGGGAACAAAAUGCUUGCGCAUAACGGCCUUCAUUUCGGCCCACGUAGAGAUAGGCCUCUCCCCAUUCCUCCUUCGGCUAGUCACCAA